rnacentral:lncRNA from 1 species
GCGGUUCCACUCCUGUCCACUCCUGACCUUUGCUCUUGAUAUAAGACCAGAAUUUCUUUGCAUUAUCUCUAUAGUCGGAACUGACCUCUUCCAUAUACUUCUUGUUGGCUUGCCGGACCUCCCACUGCACUUCUUGUUGUAGUCUUUUAUACCUGUCCUUGUCUCUUUUCUUUUUAGUUUUUCUCGCCUUCUUGUGUGCUUUCUGCUUUUGGUUUAUUUUGCGUCUAAUGUUUG